rnacentral:misc_RNA from 1 species
ACACGAUCAACUCUAGUUAGAGUUGGAAUUGGCCUCAUGCGUCGCAUGACGCAUCUGGUUUGAAUGGAUCAAGUUGAUGGGCUUCCCAGCGGUGCUAAAUGUGUGCUAGCGAGGCAGUCGUCCCGAUCUCACAUUUAGUCUCGUUGCAGAGUCCUAAUCACGGCUUGUAAAUACAUUUUAUCUA